rnacentral:rRNA from 1 species
UUUAUGGAGAGUUUGAUCCUGGCUCAGGAUGAACGCUGGCGGCGUGCCUAAUACAUGCAAGUCGAGCGAACGGACGAGAAGCUUGCUUCUCUGAUGUUAGCGGCGGACGAGUGAGUAACACGUGGAUAACCUACCUAUAAGACUGGGAUAACUUCGGGAAACCGGAGCUAAUACCGGAUAAUAUUUU